UGAAAGAUGUCUUCAAUCUUAAAAGUAUUUGGGAGAGAAGACAAAGAGAAGGAGAAGGAAAAAGAUAAGAAAGAUAAGAAAGAUGGGGACAAAGACAAAAAGAAGAAGAAAGAGAAAAAGCAUGAUGGACAAGAUGACGACAGCAGCAGCAGCAGUAGCUCGGACAGUGAUUCUGAGAAGGGUCACAAGAAGAAAAAGAAGGAAAAAGACUAACUUUGUGGUUAUGUACAACUAACACAGAAACAGCAGCAGAGCUGGCUUCAGGGCAUUUGAUAACAUUCUACCUGGAAGAGGAACAAGAAGUGUCUGACCGUUA